UACGGAGGGUGCAAGCGUUAUCCGGAUUUACUGGGUUUAAGGGGUGUGUAGGCGGACUUUUAAGUCAGCGGUGAAAUCUCCGGGCUCAACCCGGAAACUGCCAUUGAUACUAUUGGUCUUGAAUAUUGUGGAGGUGGGCGGAACGGGUCAUGUAGCGGUGAAAUGCUUAGAGAUGACCCGGAACACCGAUUGCGAAGGCAGCCCACUACGCAAUGAUUGACGCUGAGGCACGAAAGCGUGGGGAUCAAACAGG
rnacentral:rRNA from 1 species